CAGCACAUUUUAGUAGCAAAAGAAAAUUGGUAUUGAAAGCAAAACAAGGAAAGAAAUCUCUCUGGGCCCCGCUUCUGUUUCUCAAAAGAAAACUGAAGGCUACCCAGAGGGUAGAUAUUGAGUCAGGAUCCAAACACAGUUGGACUUUACAGCUCUCAGGAUCGUAACACCUAACUUCUUCCAAAAAGUGAAAUGACUUUACUUCUAAUUUCCUCUAUUCAUCCAAUACCAUUUGCAAAUAGUGUCUGAGUGUAUACUAUUUUUCAAGCACUGUUCCUGGGAAUCCAGGUACACAGUAAACUUUAUAGACAAAGUUCCUGGUCUUAGUCCACUGUUGCAGUAGGAAAAGACAUCAACAUCAGGCCAAAUAGAU
rnacentral:sRNA from 1 species